UAGAGUUUGAUCAUGGUUCAGGAUGAACGCUAGCGGCAGGCUUAACACAUGCAAGUCGAGGGGCAUCGGGAGGGAAGCUUGCUUUCCUUGCCGGCGACCGGCGCACGGGUGAGUAACACGUAUGCAACCUGCCCUCUUCAGGGGGACAACCUUCCGAAAGGGAGGCUAAUCCCGCGUAUAUCGGUUUCGGGCAUCCGAGAUCGAGGAAAGAUUCAUCGGAAGAGGAUGGGCAUGCGGCGCAUUAGCUUGACGGCGAGGUAACGGCCCACCGUGGCGACGAUGCGUAGGGGUUCUGAGAGGAAGGUCCCCCACACUGGUACUGAGACACGGACCAGACUCCUACGGGAGGCAGCAGUGAGGAAUAUUGGUCAAUGGGAGAGAUCCUGAACCAGCCAAGCCGCGUGAGGGAAGACGGCCCUAUGGGUUGUAAACCUCUUUUGUCGGAGAACAAAACCCGGGACGUGUCCCGGACUGCGUGUAUCCGAAGAAAAAGCAUCGGCUAACUCCGUGCCAGCAGCCGCGGUAAUACGGAGGAUGCGAGCGUUAUCCGGAUUUAUUGGGUUUAAAGGGUGCGUAGGCGGUCCGUUAAGUCAGCGGUAAAAUUGCGGGGCUCAACCCCGUCGAGCCGUUGAAACUGGCAGACUUGAGUUGGCGAGAAGUACGCGGAAUGCGCGGUGUAGCGGUGAAAUGCAUAGAUAUCGCGCAGAACUCCGAUUGCGAAGGCAGCGUACCGGCGCCACACUGACGCUGAGGCACGAAAGCGUGGGGAUCGAACAGGAUUAGAUACCCUGGUAG
rnacentral:rRNA from 1 species